rnacentral:rRNA from 1 species
AUUGAACGCUGGCGGCAGGCCUAACACAUGCAAGUCGAGCGAGCGGCGGACGGGUGAGUAAUGUAUGGGGACUGCCCGAUAGAGGGGGAUAACUACUGGAAACGGUGGCUAAUACCGCAUACUAUCGGAUAACCCAUAUGGGAUUAGCUAGUAGGUGGGGUAAAGGCUCACCUAGGCGACGAUCUCUAGCUGGUCUGAGAGGAUGAUCAGUCACACUGGGGUGGAGACACUGACAAGACUCGAAGGGAGGCAGCAUGGGGGAAUAUUGGGAAAUGGGCGGAAGCCUGAUGCAGUCAUGCCGCGUGUAGGAAGAAGGCCUUCGGGUUGUAAAGGACUAUCAUCGGGGAGGCGGUACCGGAAGAAGAAGCACCGGCUAACUCCGUGCCAGCAGCCGCGGUAAUUC